rnacentral:rRNA from 1 species
GGGUUGUGAGGUUAAGCGACUAAGCGUACACGGUGGAUGCCCUGGCAGUCAGAGGCGAUGAAGGACGUGCUAAUCUGCGAUAAGCGUCGGUAAGGUGAUAUGAACCGUUAUAACCGGCGAUUUCCGAAUGGGGAAACCCAGUGUGUUUCGACACACUAUCAUUAACUGAAUCCAUAGGUUAAUGAGGCGAACCGGGGGAACUGAAACAUCUAAGUACCCCGAGGAAAAGAAAUCAACCGAGAUUCCCCCAGUAGCGGCGAGCGAACGGGGAGCAGCCCAGAGCCUGAAUCAGUGUGUGUGUUAGUGGAAGCGUCUGGAAAGGCGCGCGAUACAGGGUGACAGCCCCGUACACAAAAAUGCACAUGCUGUGAGCUCGAUGAGUAGGGCGGGACACGUGGUAUCCUGUCUGAAUAUGGGGGGACCAUCCUCCAAGGCUAAAUACUCCUGACUGACCGAUAGUGAACCAGUACCGUGAGGGAAAGGCGAAAAGAACCCCGGCGAGGGGAGUGAAAAAGAACCUGAAACCGUGUACGUACAAGCAGUGGGAGCACGCUUAGGCGUGUGACUGCGUACCUUUUGUAUAAUGGGUCAGCGACUUAUAUUCUGUAGCAAGGUUAACCGAAUAGGGGAGCCGAAGGGAAACCGAGUCUUAACUGGGCGUUAAGUUGCAGGGUAUAGACCCGAAACCCGGUGAUCUAGCCAUGGGCAGGUUGAAGGUUGGGUAACACUAACUGGAGGACCGAACCGACUAAUGUUGAAAAAUUAGCGGAUGACUUGUGGCUGGGGGUGAAAGGCCAAUCAAACCGGGAGAUAGCUGGUUCUCCCCGAAAGCUAUUUAGGUAGCGCCUCGUGAAUUCAUCUCCGGGGGUAGAGCACUGUUUCGGCAAGGGGGUCAUCCCGACUUACCAACCCGAUGCAAACUGCGAAUACCGGAGAAUGUUAUCACGGGAGACACACGGCGGGUGCUAACGUCCGUCGUGAAGAGGGAAACAACCCAGACCGCCAGCUAAGGUCCCAAAGUCAUGGUUAAGUGGGAAACGAUGUGGGAAGGCCCAGACAGCCAGGAUGUUGGCUUAGAAGCAGCCAUCAUUUAAAGAAAGCGUAAUAGCUCACUGGUCGAGUCGGCCUGCGCGGAAGAUGUAACGGGGCUAAACCAUGCACCGAAGCUGCGGCAGCGACGCUGAUGCGUUGUUGGGUAGGGGAGCGUUCUGUAAGCCUGCGAAGGUGUGCUGUGAGGCAUGCUGGAGGUAUCAGAAGUGCGAAUGCUGACAUAAGUAACGAUAAAGCGGGUGAAAAGCCCGCUCGCCGGAAGACCAAGGGUUCCUGUCCAACGUUAAUCGGGGCAGGGUGAGUCGACCCCUAAGGCGAGGCCGAAAGGCGUAGUCGAUGGGAAACAGGUUAAUAUUCCUGUACUUGGUGUUACUGCGAAGGGGGGACGGAGAAGGCUAUGUUGGCCGGGCGACGGUUGUCCCGGUUUAAGCGUGUAGGCUGGUUUUCCAGGCAAAUCCGGAAAAUCAAGGCUGAGGCGUGAUGACGAGGCACUACGGUGCUGAAGCAACAAAUGCCCUGCUUCCAGGAAAAGCCUCUAAGCAUCAGGUAACAUCAAAUCGUACCCCAAACCGACACAGGUGGUCAGGUAGAGAAUACCAAGGCGCUUGAGAGAACUCGGGUGAAGGAACUAGGCAAAAUGGUGCCGUAACUUCGGGAGAAGGCACGCUGAUAUGUAGGUGAAGUCCCUCGCGGAUGGAGCUGAAAUCAGUCGAAGAUACCAGCUGGCUGCAACUGUUUAUUAAAAACACAGCACUGUGCAAACACGAAAGUGGACGUAUACGGUGUGACGCCUGCCCGGUGCCGGAAGGUUAAUUGAUGGGGUCAGCGCAAGCGAAGCUCUUGAUCGAAGCCCCGGUAAACGGCGGCCGUAACUAUAACGGUCCUAAGGUAGCGAAAUUCCUUGUCGGGUAAGUUCCGACCUGCACGAAUGGCGUAAUGAUGGCCAGGCUGUCUCCACCCGAGACUCAGUGAAAUUGAACUCGCUGUGAAGAUGCAGUGUACCCGCGGCAAGACGGAAAGACCCCGUGAACCUUUACUAUAGCUUGACACUGAACAUUGAGCCUUGAUGUGUAGGAUAGGUGGGAGGCUUUGAAGUGUGGACGCCAGUCUGCAUGGAGCCGACCUUGAAAUACCACCCUUUAAUGUUUGAUGUUCUAACGUUGACCCGUGAUCCGGGUUGCGGACAGUGUCUGGUGGGUAGUUUGACUGGGGCGGUCUCCUCCUAAAGAGUAACGGAGGAGCACGAAGGUUGGCUAAUCCUGGUCGGACAUCAGGAGGUUAGUGCAAUGGCAUAAGCCAGCUUGACUGCGAGCGUGACGGCGCGAGCAGGUGCGAAAGCAGGUCAUAGUGAUCCGGUGGUUCUGAAUGGAAGGGCCAUCGCUCAACGGAUAAAAGGUACUCCGGGGAUAACAGGCUGAUACCGCCCAAGAGUUCAUAUCGACGGCGGUGUUUGGCACCUCGAUGUCGGCUCAUCACAUCCUGGGGCUGAAGUAGGUCCCAAGGGUAUGGCUGUUCGCCAUUUAAAGUGGUACGCGAGCUGGGUUUAGAACGUCGUGAGACAGUUCGGUCCCUAUCUGCCGUGGGCGCUGGAGAACUGAGGGGGGCUGCUCCUAGUACGAGAGGACCGGAGUGGACGCAUCACUGGUGUUCGGGUUGUCAUGCCAAUGGCACUGCCCGGUAGCUAAAUGCGGAAGAGAUAAGUGCUGAAAGCAUCUAAGCACGAAACUUGCCCCGAGAUGAGUUCUCCCUGACCCUUUAAGGGUCCUGAAGGAACGUUGAAGACGACGACGUUGAUAGGCCGGGUGUGUAAGCGCAGCGAUGCGUUGAGCUAACCGGUACUAAUGAACCGUGAGGCUUAACCUUACAACGCCGAAGGUGUUU